GACGAACGCUGGCGGCGUGCUUAACACAUGCAAGUCGAACGCUGAAGCUUGGUGCUUGCACUGGGUGGCUGAGUGGCGAACGGGUGAGUAAUACGUGAGUAACCUGCCCUUGACUCUGGGAUAAGCCUGGGAAACUGGGUCUAAUACUGGAUACGACAUGUCACCGCAUGGUGGCGUGUGGAAAGGGUUUUACUGGUUUUGGAUGGGCUCACGGCCUAUCAGCUUGUUGGUGGGGUAAUGGCUCACCAAGGCGACGACGGGUAGCCGGCCUGAGAGGGUGACCGGCCACACUGGGACUGAGACACGGCCCAGACUCCUACGGGAGGCAGCAGUGGGGAAUAUUGCACAAUGGGCGAAAGCCUGAUGCAGCGACGCCGCGUGAGGGAUGACGGCCUUCGGGUUGUAAACCUCUUUCAGCACGGAAGAAGCGAAAGUGACGGUACGUGCAGAAGAAGCGCCGGCUAACUACGUG
rnacentral:rRNA from 1 species